rnacentral:lncRNA from 1 species
GUAACUUCUUCUGCAUGGUGCCCCACACUGCAGAGUUCAGAGUGAGCAGUCCCCAAUACAGCCCUGAACGCAGAAAAUCAGAUGCCUGCAGACCUUGAUGCUCAAACCAAAGGAUGCUGCUCUUGUACCUAUUUUUGUGUUUUCUCACAAGAGGACUUCAGACUAAAGGAUCUAGAGGUACUUUUGGAUUGCUGUGAAGGCAGCUCUCAGAGGGAAGCCAUGGACAAUCUGCUCAGGAUGAAGAGAAAACCCUGGAAGUGGAAACUUCUGGGGAAGCUUCUGAAGAAGCAUCCUUCCCUGGACUCCAGCUUCUGCUGGACAACUGCAGAACUGCAAACAACUGUUUGGGAACAGCAAACAUCUCUGAUGGUAAAGCUAACAGGAGGUCCUGCACUGUGGCACAGGGCAAGUGCUGGUUCUGGAGAUCACCUUGGCAUGGCAGCAGAGCAGUGAGUGCAUUCAUAACAACUCAAUUUAGUGUCAUAAAACCAGAAACAUUCUGAUGGGAGAAGGAAAAUAUUUCAUCUGUGAAUUUCCCUUGGCUUUGUUGCAGAUCAGAUUCAGGUCUCCAAGAAGUCUUUGUUCAGGGAACUGUUCGUAG